rnacentral:rRNA from 1 species
GCCAUGCAUGUCUAAGUACAAGCGAAAAUAAAGUGAAACCGCAAAAGGCUCAUUAUAUCAGUUAUGGUUCCUUAGAUCGUAUCCACAAUUACUUGGAUAACUGUGGUAAUUCUAGAGCUAAUACAUGCAAUUAAAGAGAAACCAGUAAAAUGGGAUCUCUGCUUUUAUUAGAUUUAAACCAAUGGGGAUUGUUUGCGCAAUCUCUAUUACAAUGGUUGAACUCUGGAUAAUUUGUUGAUCGCAUGGUCUUGUACCGGCGACGGGUCUUUCAAAUGUCUGCCCUAUCAACUAUUGAAGGUAGUGUUUUGGACUACCUUGGUUGCAACGGGUAACGGGGAAUCAGGGUUCGAUUCCGGAGAGGGAGCCUGAGAAACGGCUACCACAUCUAAGGAAGGCAGCAGGCGCGUAAAUUACCCACUCCCGGCACGGGGAGGUAGUGACGAAAAAUAACAAUACAAGACUCACAUCCGAGGCCUUGUAAUUGGAAUGAGUACACUUUAAAUCCUUUAACAAGGAUCAAUUGGAGGGCAAGUCUGGUGCCAGCCGCCGCGGUAAUUCCAGCUCCAAUAGCGUAUAUUAAAGUUGUUGCGGUUAAAACGUUCGUAGUUGAACCUGUGUUCCGCACGGGCAGUACCUAGGACUGGGUAACUAGGACGGUACGUUGUCUUAUCUUUUCAUUGCUCUCAAAGGGGCUAUGGAAAAAGUGCGUGAACGUAUUAUCGACGUGUUCACUUUCGUUAUAUUACACAAAAUGUGUGUGUGACGAAAUUGUUCACAUAAGCCCAUUUCAGUCCUCUUUACCGAGUGUUGUUGUGGGCCGAUACAAAUUACUUUGAACAAAUUAGAGUGCUUAAAGCAGGCUUGUAAUGCCUGAAUAUUUUGUGCAUGGAAUAAUGGAAUAGGACAUCUGUUCUACUUUCAUUGGUUUUUUAGACCAAGAUGUAAUGAUUAAUGGAAGCAGUUGGGGGCAUUGGUAUUACAACGCGAGAGGUGAAAUUCUUAGACCGUUGUAAGACUG